rnacentral:rRNA from 1 species
GUGCCAGCCGCCGCGGUAAUACGAAGGGGGCUAGCGUUGUUCGGAAUUACUGGGCGUAAAGGGCGCGUAGGCGGUUUUGUCAGUCGGAAGUGAAAGCCCCGGGCUCAACCUGGGAACUGCUUUCGAUACUGCAAGACUUGAGUUCCGGAGAGGAUGGUGGAAUUCCCAGUGUAGAGGUGAAAUUCGUAGAUAUUGGGAAGAACACCGGUGGCGAAGGCGGCCAUCUGGACGGACACUGACGCUGAGGCGCGAAAGCGUGGGGAGCAAACAGGAUUAGAAACCCUAGUAGUCC